rnacentral:rRNA from 1 species
GAUAAAAAACCAAUGCCCUCCGGGGCUCCUUGGUGAUUCAUAAUAACUCAACGAAUCGCAUGGCCUUGCGCCGGCGAUGGUUCGUUCAAAUUUCUGCCCUAUCAACUUUCGAUGGUAGGAUAGUGGCCUACCAUGGUAUCAACGGGUAACGGGGAAUUAGGGUUCGAUUCCGGAGAGGGAGCCUGAGAAACGGCUACCACAUCCAAGGAAGGCAGCAGGCGCGCAAAUUACCCAAUCCCGACACGGGGAGGUAGUGACAAUAAAUACUGAUACAGGGCUCUUUUGGGUCUUGUAAUCGGAAUGAGUACAAUUUAAAUCCCUUAACGAGGAACAAUUGGAGGGCAAGUCUGGUGGACCAUGUCCUAGCAGCACUGCUGACGCCAGAUAGAGUGGAGGCCCUGAACAUCUGCUAGUCGAGCAUCCAUUUGCCCUGAUGGGGGGAUGCCGGCAAGGUAACCUGGAACGGGGGAUCCGUGUAGGCUUUGCAAGGCUUGCGGUAAUCCCGUGGCGAGCGCUUCAUCGCGCCGUCGUAACGCGCGCAAAGGUACCGGCCGUUUGACGGCUCAAGGGACGUGCUAAACCCGUACGAAAGUAUGCCUCUAGUUGAUAGCACCCAUCAUGCGAUGGCUGGAGGGCACCGGAAUGGUGUGGCAAGUUGACCAUUAGCCGGCAACGCGCCGGUAAACGUCAUCUUUUCUUGGCCAGCAGCCGCGGUAAUUCCAGCUCCAAUAGCGUAUAUUAAAGUUGUUGCAGUUAAAAAGCUCGUAGUUGAAC